GCACUCCCCUCUCCCACUUCCUCUGUGCUCUCACCAAUUCCCCGGGUGACACAUGCUUCCCUCCCUGCCUUCCCACCACCCGCAUAACACCUGUGUUCAGGAUCUACAUAAUACCUGUGCUGGGCUCCCACAUAACGCCCCGUAGGCGGGAGGGUGUUGACCUGGGAAGGGCGCGUUCACACGCCCGGCAGCCGUUUCCUCGGCACGGGUGGCCCCGCGGGGCUCCUCCCUGCGCCGGGCAGGGCUCCUCCCGGGACGGACGAGGAAGAGGAGGAGGAAGGAGGAGGCGAGAAGGCGAGCGGGGAGCCAGGCAGCCGGCCAGCCCGCGAAGCGCACCGGGGCGCGCCUUCUCCGCGCAUCUGGCACCCGACGGCCGGAGGGCAGAGAGAGGGGGAUGAAAAGAUGAGGUUUACGGCCUUUCGGGGGCUGCAGGAGCAUUGGAAAGUCCUGCCCAGGGCCUGCAGAGUUUUCGGCAUCAGCAACCCCACACCGACAGCGUGCAGUGACAAGUCUUGGAAGAAGGGGGCUUUCUUUGGGGGCCAAUAUUCACUCCACACCAAUCCCGUAGGGAUUCGCAGACGUUCCUCCGAGGCCACAGCCGAUGUCCUGGGAUCCCAGGGAAGGAGCUUCUCUCUGGACGAAUCUCGGCGCCUCCGGGAAGGGCUACAGGUAACCUUUUUGUGAUCUGUAAAUGGAUGAAAAGCAAGAGGUUUAUUUAAUUUAUUUAUUUGCAAUCCUAAAGUCAGAUAGAUCUUGAAAAACUACAAUAACCAGGGAUACCUAGAGAUUCUGGGCUACUCAAUCUGCGAAAUGACUCUAAAAUUCUGUUUAAGGGCUCCUUGUGCGAAUGAGCCUUUUGACCUUCAACCCAUUCAAAAGGCUUUCUUCCUCCUUAUUCUGGAAGGAAGACCUGGAAGUCCAGACUAUAUUUUUGGCCUUGGGAUCCAGAAGACUGGAGGCAUGUAAAUUGUUGCUGUAGAGUUUUGAAUUUGUUCACAGCUGUGCAGCAAAAAUGGAGGGAUUCAUGGAGUAGAAUAGCUUCGAGUUCCCUGGAGCCGGCCACCCCUUUCUUAUUAAAUGGUACUUAACAGUCUCAGUAACUCACUUGGGAGACAUUAUUGGUAGGAAAAAAAUCAAAAUGUUUCAUUAUAGCAAAAUGACAAGCAAACAAACAUUUAUUUAUUUCGAGCCUUCGAGAAUACAUUUACAGUAUUUAUUUAUUUAUUUAUUUACUUACUUACUUACUUACUUACUUACUUACUUACUUACAAGGGGGAAAAACCACAAACAAAAUCAUAAAAUACAACUCCAUGAUAAACUAAAAUGACCAAAAAUAACUCCCUCUGAGACUGUCUGCAUGAGAUCCGUAAACAGAAGACUGCCCUUCCCUUUAGGGUUUCUCUCCCCCCCUUGCAAAAGUCAGGACACGAAAGGAAAAGGGGGAGGAGGAGGGAAGAGGAAAACAAGGACAUUCAGGUGCGGAGUCCUUGAUGUUUCAUAACCCCCAGGAGGAAAGGAAAGCGCUCAGGGCGAGGUGGAGGCCAAAGGGGCAAGGGGAGAGACAAAGGCCCGAGAAGGGUGGGGUUUUUUUGGUCUCUUUUGCUUUCUUGCAAAAUCAACUUACUAGUUGCAUCAUCCUUUUCUCCCCCCCUCCCCGCUCAAUCUUAUAAGCUCGAUCUUAUCC
rnacentral:lncRNA from 1 species